GGGUUCUCUAUAAUCGAUCAUAAUCAGAUUUUUAUUUAUGUGCACAUGCUGAUGCUCACCGUAACACUAAUCUAUAUGAUAUACACAUUUUAAUACACGUUUCACUGAGGAGUAAAUCCGAGAUGGACCAAAGUUUCAUGGUGUCAUCUUUGUCUUUCCGUCUCAUUCAUGAAAGUAGAAAGAACAAGGCCGCCUCAAAACAGGCUAUAUAAGGACCGACGGCGAAAUUUGUCUGACCCAUAAUCUAGUACGCAUUGACCUCGGCUCAAUAUCGAAAUCGGUUUUGUCAUCACUCCCAGAUGAGAAGCUGCAUCGAGGUUAGAAUGUCGUAAUGAUCAUCCAGCUGUGGCUACCAAUGUAUGUAGGGACAAACUGUAUGUGCGCUUUCAGCACGCAGCUAUCUGGCAGACUUUUUUUUAGUUUGACCUUACACGUCACGUGGCUCUGUGUGUUACAAACAUAAUAUAUCAUAACGGGGAGACCCCCUUCUGUGGUAAAGCAGCGCGUACGUAAACCAAAUUACUCUACUGAAAGCGAUUGGAAUCUUCUUACCGAAGAGUGUAUCCCGCCGCGAAGUUUUGUAGUCGUCAGUUCACUUUGAGGCACAAUAUUACAAUGUAUUACCGAUUUGUUUCAAUCGGCGUUUAUACUUAACUGCUUCAAAAAACAACACAUCGGACGAAAAUACAAACUAGUCGGUGACGCAAAUAGGUAGUCAUCUUUCACUACCACUUCAUCACAGAAAUCAAUGAAGUUUAUUAGGUGCUGAUAUCAACGAAGUCGAUUUCCUUAUUGAUCGGCUUCCUUAUUGAUUUCGAUUACAUCAACCAAAGUUAUAAUACAUUAACCUAAAUCACUAAUAAUAAUCUUUAAAGUUAGUCUUCUACGUUUCUGUGUGUCUCCGAUGAGGAAGGCAAGCUCUUAUUCAAAAAUUCCGUGUCUACUGCAGCGUUCAUACUGUUCUCCAGAAACCUUCGGUAGAGUCGACUUUAGACUAAUAUCGUUAACAAUGUUCAGCCCUAUCAAUUAUGAUAGCAAAUACAGAUCGUUUUCGAGAGUUUUCGUAUGCAAAGUGCGCAUGUCCUAGUGUUAACGUCUAUCGCUCGUUCGUCCACAUCUUUUGUAGAAGCUGAAGUUUGAGAAUGUAUAAAAAUUUCUGGAAGGAGCAUAGAGCAAGUACUGCUGAAAACUAUCCGGUUUGCUUGUUUCCAGUUUGAAACCUAUCGUGCUUUUCUGUACGCCCUCAUGUACCAUACACGGUUUUCGUCGCUUAAACAUUGGUAGAACCUCACAAACACACUUUUACGUCUCAUGUAUGAUAACAAUGACGAGCAACAAGCUCAGACAUCGGGUCCUGCCUCGUCAAGUCAUCUUCAACGCGAUUUAGAGUUUAUCACCAGCCUUCAGACCCACUCGGAUACGUUCUACUUACUGGGUAUGUGCGAAGGAAGCAGGGUAGCCCAGGCCAUGAAGGCGAAGUCCCGUGAAGACAACUGGCGAACCGUCGGCGUUGGAAGACCGGCCAAAAGACUGACAGAUACUAAAAGGGUUGUCAGCGUUCCUCUACCUAGACAGCCGUUAACGAGAUAUAGGGUUUCCGAUGUGCUGACCAUGGACGACUGGACUCCAGCGCUUGACUUUGGAAUGUUGUUUCAACAUGAGCAUAAUACACAAGCUGAUCGCGAUAAUCGAUAUCCAUGACGUACGAUUGAACGACAACUGGGAUAUUAGCGCUAUCCACUGUAAAAGCUUCUUUUAGGUUCCAGAAUUCUCUCUGCUUUGCCAAGAUAUAAGCAUGCGGAAGGAUCGACUGCAUAUACGCAUCUAGCUCCUGACCGCUGUAUCGUGAACGAUACGGUGUUCGCUAGUAGGGCCGAUUUCUGCUUAACAGGGCGGAGCUGGAAUCGUAGUAAUUGAAGAUAAACUAAUCAUUAUCACUGCUAGCGCUGCUCCGCUGCUGUUCAUACUCGACUUGAUCGAGUCGGGCUGACAUAAGAUUUUAGAUAAACGCAUAUAUAUAUACAUCGCUUUCGACUCGGUGUUGCCCUCAGCUGUGAACCUCGAUGGCCUUCAAUCUGUGCUUGACCAAAAACUGUUCGAGCAAAUGCAUUGCACAGAAAGUUACCACUUAGGAAGGCUUCUCGCGCCGAAAUUACCAACAUUUUUUUUUUAAGAAUGGAGAUUUUUGCGUGUCACAGAAUCAAAUUAAGUACGAAUAGUGUAGCUGACUAAUAUACAUCCCGAAUGGACGUUGAAGACAUACUCAAUUAAGCUCUAUAAUAAUAAGUGUACUGUUUUGCUCCAUUUUACUAACCAUUAAUAAACCAGCUUUUG